GGCAAGGUGGCCGAGUGGUUAAGGCGAUAGACUCGAAUGUGCUCCGUUGUGGGCUCGUUUCGGCCAUCUAUUGGGUUCGCCCGCGUAGGUUCAAAUCCUGCCCUUGUCG